GCCCUAGUAACCUACUCAGCCCAAUUAAGCGUCGGCCUUGUAAGCCGGAGACGAGCCAUCAAGCACCCGGGCU
rnacentral:tRNA from 1 species